AUACGGAGGAUCCGAGCGUUAUCCGGAUUUAUUGGGUUUAAAGGGUGCGCAGGCGGCCAUUUAAGUCAGCGGUUAAAUCGUGGGGCUCAACCCCAUUCUGCGGUUGAUACUGGGUGGCUUGAUUGCGGUCGAGGUUGGCGGAAUUCGUUGUGUAGCGGUGAAAUGCAUAGAUAUGACGAAGAACACCGAUUGCGUAGGCAGCUGACCAGACCGCAAAUGACGCUCAUGCACGAAAGUGCGGGGAUCGAACAGGAUUAGAUACCCUGGUAGUCCGCACAGUAAACGAUGAAUACUUGUUUUCGGCGAUAUAAUGUCGGAGGCAAAGCGAAAGCGAUAAGUAUUCCACCUGGGGAGUACGCCGGCAACGGUGGAACUCAAAGGAAUUGACGGGG
rnacentral:rRNA from 1 species